rnacentral:rRNA from 1 species
UACGGGGGGGGGCAAGCGUUGUUCGGAAUUACUGGGCGUAAAGGGCUCGUAGGCGGCCAACUAAGUCGGACGUGAAAUCCCCAGGCUCAACCUGGGAACUGCGUCCGAUACUGGAUGGCUUGAAUCCGGGAGAGGGAUGCAGAAUUCCAGGUGUAGCGGUGAAAAUGCGUAGAUAUCUGGAGGAACACCGGUGGCGAAGGCGGCAUCCUGGGACCGAUAUUGACGCUGAGACGCGAAAAGCGUGGGGAGCGAACAGG